rnacentral:rRNA from 1 species
UAAUACCAGCCCCCUGAGUGGUAGGGAUGAUUAUUUGGCCUAAAACGUCCGUAGCCGGCUCAGCAAGUCUUUCGUUAAAUCCGGUGACUUAAUCAUCGGGCUGCGAGAGAUACUACUAGGCUUGAGGGCGGGAGAGGUCGACGGUAUUCCGGGGGUAGGGGUAAAAUCCUAUAAUCCUCGGAGGACCACCAGUGGCGAAGGCGGUCGACUAGAACGUGCCUGACGGUGAUGGACGAAAGCUGGGGGAGCAAACCGGAUUAGACACCCGGGUAGUCCCAGCUGUAAACGAUGCGGGCUAGGUGUUGGGGCAGCUACGAGCUGCUCCAGUGCCGCAGAGAAGUCAUUAAGCCCGCUGCCUGGGAAGUACGGUCGCAAGACUG